GUCCAGCUGCGGGGGAGACAGUGUCGCUCUCUAACCCUAAUGUGGGGGCAACGCGGGCCCUUUGUUUAAAGUCCCGCUGUCGGGAGCCCUCGCUGUUUUCUUGGCUAACUUUCAGCGAUGGCGAAAGGGCCCAGCAAAGGUUGGGAAGCGUGAUUUAUUGUUGGUGGGCAGAGAGAAAAAAGUUUAAGCCGCGGCCUCCUCCCCGGCGGCCCAGGACCCCCUGUUGCAACGUGCGGAAUGGCGGCCUCGGCCCCCCUGCUGCACGCCCAGCCGUUUAGGCCGCGGUCAGCGCCGGUUUCCACGCCAGUGUGGGGCUUGAUGCUGUCGCGAAGAGUUCGUCUCUGUUAGCCUGGCAGGGUGUGCUACGCAGGGUCGGGGUGCGGAGGGCAGGGAGAUUAAAUAGCUUGACCAGACGCUAUGGCCUGUACUGCAUUUCCCAGAGCUGUGGGACCUGCAAAUCUGCGCUGGUCAUACAUUU
rnacentral:telomerase_RNA from 9 species